rnacentral:rRNA from 1 species
UACGUAGGGGGCAAGCGUUAUCCGGAUUUACUGGGUGUAAAGGGAGCGCAGGCGGUACGGCAAGUCCGAUGUGAAAGCCCGGGGCUCAACCCCGGGACUGCAUUGGAAACUGCCGCACUAGAGUGCCGGAGAGGUAAGUGGAAUUCCUAGUGUAGCGGUGAAAUGCGUAGAUAUUAGGAGGAACACCAGUGGCGAAGGCGGCUUACUGGACGGUAACUGACGCUGAGGCUCGAAAGCGUGGGGAGCAAACAGG